CCUGGCCCUGGGAAGAAGCUGGUCUCUGCAUUGAAUGACAGGGAAGGAUUCUGGAAGACAUAGGAGGAGACGCCAGCAUUUCGCCCUCCAGCACCUCCUGCGGGCUGUGGUCCGCUUCCGGCCUCACUCGAGCAGACCCCGCCCUCCCAGAGGCCGUUUGUCCAAGUCACGUGAUCGUCGAAUCUGUUGACCUGGCGCCACCGGAAAAAGAAAUUCCCGGGCCCUGGCUUCUUGGCCUGAUGGCACUGCUAGCCUUGAAGCCUCCAGCCUGCUGGAUGCCUCCAUCCCCGGCUAUGCUGUGGCUCUCCUCAUUCUAGGCCUCCUGCUCGUCACAUUCACCCUUGUCCUGGUGCUAAAGUGGAGGGCCUCCCAUGGGGUGUUCAGCCUGGGUGUGUAGAAGCACACAGUGUGGUACAGAGGACCCUCUCCAGACAGGUGACCCCUCAUGCUGCUGCUCCCUCUGCUGAAACCCAAACUGCAAACCUCUCCUCUCCCUGCCUUCACCUUGCCCCACGGCUUCCACAGACAGUGCCUCAACCCCGAGGAAUGAAUCCGAAGUUCCAACACCACUGACUUUCCCAGGAACUCAGAGCCAGAGAGGGCCAAGGACCAGCUCGAGGACACACAGCCAGGGCUUCUUCCCUCCGAAACCCCCAAGGACUGGACUUGCAGGGCUGGGACAGAGGUGGGGUGGGGGAAAGCAAUGCCUUGUCAACCCACGUGGGGAGCCCCACUCCCAUCCCCAAGGUGCAUAAAGUUGAGGAACACCCCUGCUCCCACGUCCAUGCUCAUUCAGGGCCCUGCUCCAAGUGCUUGGCACUCACACCAGCCUCCUGCCCUCCACAGGUAUUGGUC
rnacentral:lncRNA from 1 species